rnacentral:rRNA from 1 species
CGCCUCUUGCUAAUCCAAGUAUAAGAGGUCUAGCCUGCCCUGUGACUUAAAUGUUUAACGGCCGCGGUAUCCUAACCGUGCGAAGGUAGCGCAAUCACUUGUUUCUUAAAUGGAGACCUGUAUGAAUGGCAUAACGAGGGCUUAACUGUCCCCUUUUUCCGGUCAAUGAAAUUGAUCUCCCCGUGCAGAAGCGGGGAUAUAACCAUAAGACGAGAAGACCCUGUGGAGCUUUAGGCAUCAAGACAUAUCAUGCUUACUAACCCUUAACUUAAUAAGGCCUCAAAUGAAUUCAUGUCGGUAUGCCUUCGGUUGGGGCGACCAAGGGGAAUAAAAAACCCCCAUGUGGAAUGGGAGCACCAAACCCUCCUAUAACCAAGAAAUUACAAUUCUAAGAAACAAAAUAUUUGACCUAAAGAUCCGGCAAAGCCGAUCAACGAACCAAGUUACCCCAGGGAUAACAGCGCAAUCCCCUUUUAGAGUCCCUAUCGACAAGGGGGUUUACGACCUCGAUGUUGGAUCAGGACAUCC